UAUUGCAACCCAAAUCUAUGAAACCAAAUGAUCUGAAGCAACUGAAUGAAAAAUGAAUGGGUUGGUUGAGUGGUCAGCUCACUUGCCCGUUUAAACAAGUGUCGAGGGUUCGAAUCCUGCCAUUACUAAAAAAUUAGCUAUUACAGACGGAAUUUCAGAGAGAUUUUUUGUCGAAAAAUAAAAAAAAUGAAUUAGCAUAAAUUACAGACGGAAAACAUUGCAGGAGCUUCUUUCACCGCCGCCGCUCUCUCCAUCGCUCCGUCCAUGAAGAAGCUCCAUCGCUUACAAGCUCCAUUUUCUUGCUUCUGUUUGAGCUGUGUUUCAGUCCCCUCCAUUUAGAUCUGCGCUUCUGAAUUUCAGAUCGCAUUCUGACUUUUUUUUCUUGUUAGAUUCAAUUUGAGACAAUAAUCACUUCCGUCAUUUCAAAGAUCGAACGCAGACAUGGUUGUACUUGCUGCAUCCAUUGUGGGCAAAUCUGGUAAAGUUCUGGUUUCUAGGCAGUUUGUUGAUAAUGUUGCGCAGAUAUGUGUACUAGAGUUCUGUGAAGACAGCUUACCUCUCCAAAUUUAUGUGAAGACAGAAAGUUAUGAGAAGACAGCUUACCUCUCCAAAUUUUCUGGAUAUGAAUUGUAGCAUUUCUCAAGGUGAUAAACUCUUUUCUUGCUAAAUGUAUACGGAUUUGUUUCCGUAUGAGUCUUGCUGCUUUGGCUAAGACUUCAGCUCUUCGCGCAUCUAAUUCGGCCAUCUGUCUAGCUCUCCCCAUCUGAUCAAAAGUGACAUUACAUGGCGAGGCAAUAUCAUUCUCUGAUUUCUUCUUGGCUGAUAUUUUCACUUCCAUGGCAAAGGUUUUUUCUGAUCUGGAGCAUUCUAUAUGUAGGAUGGUACAUCGGCAGAUUGCCACAAUUGCUUGGUUGGAAGCUGAUUCUGUGUGUGGCAGUCACUCUGUUGCAAUCCCUUUAGUGCUUGUCUUGCUUUAUCUUUUCCAUCUAAACCAAUGUCUCCGUCAGUACAAAGAUACCGGGGAGAAAACUUGUCUUUUGAAUGCUUUAAAAUAUUCAACCGCAGUGCCAGUUAUCUUUCUCUCGGCCCUUAAAUAUCACGUCUUCCCUGAUAAGUGGACAAACUUUUAUAGGCCUCUCUGGCUUCUGUCAAGUGUUGUGAACUCAUCGUACUCUUUAUACUGGGAUGUGAAUAGAGAUUGGGACCUAAGGUUUGCCUAAUAUUUGUUUACCAUGCAUCUCUAAAAUAUAGAUAGAGACUGUAAAAUCUUUAAGAAAAUAUGAGAUGAACUUCUUGCAUUGUAAUUAAGUCUUUGUAAUCUCUCAAAGAUAGAAUGAAAAACAUAACACAAAUGAAAAGAAAAAAGAAAGAUAGACACCUCAAAGAUAAAGGAAGUACAUGAAAAUUGUGAACAAAUUGCAGUACCCUUUUAUGCCUUCAUUUAUUUUCUGAUCAAUAGAUUCUUUAUCUGCAUAAUCUCCAAAUCUCUUAUGUCUUCUUCUAGAUAGAGAAGUUAUAUGAAAAAAAAGUGGGUGAAGAUGAUUCUUUUGUUGAUUGAUGAUACAUUUUGUGCAUGUGUUGAAUAAGAGAAAAAAAAUUUUGUGGGUCUCUCUAAUUAUAGUUUUGCAUUAGAAAGUUGUAAACAGUAUUUUUCCAUGAUUUCAAUGUUUCUGUUUAGUUUAGAUUAGGAAUUAUGAAUUUGGUUUAUUUAGCAGGUGGAGUGGGACUGAUUCAACACAAUAGAUCACAGUAUUAUUUAUUUAUUUGUAUAUUAUUGCACAUGAAUACUAAAGUAAUUAGUGCCACUCAUUGCUGUUCCCACUAGUUCAUGACCCAUUCUUCCACUAAUUCUCACACAUACAAAAUAUAGAGUAUUUGAUGUUAAAAUUCAAUCUAUUAAAAAAAUAAUAUGAUUAACACGUGUAGUGAGGUGUGAAGUUUUUCAUAUUCCUUUGGACUAAUUCAUUACACCAUAUUGUCCAAUCAUGUAUCCAAUUGGAGCUAUCUGAUUAUGUUUCAUGCAAGCUGCCUUCCCAGUCACCUCCUCUCAUGGUGCCCAUUACUGUUAUCAAUGGAGCUACUGCCAAAAGAGCUGAGUCGCGUAGCCGGAAGCAUGAGCUUUGGUAGUUAGGGUGUUACAUGCAGUAUGUUUGGAUGGAACAUUGCCUGCCUAUCACUUUCAUCCUGGAUCCGGAUCAGGAGCCAAUAGUUGGCUCAUUGACUUAGAGCCCCAAAUCGAAAGUCAUUGGAACUAGACCAGAUGUUGAGAAUUUGAUACUUGGGAAACAGAUGAGAAAUAGAAAAAUAUAAGGAGGCAGAGAAGCCUGAGGCAGAGGAUCAAUUCAUGACCCCACUGUUAGUUUGAAUCAAUGGACACAAUAAUGAUUAAUGGUUUCUGUACAGAUGAAGUUCCAAUUUUAGAGCCUAAUUAAGCAACCUUAUUGUAUAUUUUGACUUAAUUAGAGGACAAUAGUUGAUGUAUCAAUACACUUUGUUGAUGUAUGGUUGUUACUUGUUAUUAUAAUUGAUGUAUCAACACUUUGUUUAUAUUUUGAAUUAUAUUGACUUGUUUGUUUAUAGUA